rnacentral:rRNA from 1 species
UAUUAAGUCAGUGGUGAAAGACGGUGGCUCAACCAUCGUUAGCCAUUGAAACUGGUAGUCUUGAGUGCAGACAGGGAUGCUGGAACUCGUGGUGUAGCGGUGAAAUGCUUAGAUAUCACGAUGAACUCCGAUCGCGAAAGCAGGUGUCCGGGCUGCAACUGACGCUGAGGCUCGAAAGUGUGGGUAUCAAACAGGAUUAGAUACCCUGGUAGUCCACACAGUAAACGAUGUAUACUCGCGGUUUUGCGAUAGACAGUAAGCCGCCAAGCGAAAGCAUUAAGUAUACCACCUGGGGAGUACGCCGGCAACGGUGAAACUCAAAGGAAUUGACGGGGGCCCGCACAAGCGGAGGAACAUGUGGUUUAAUUCGAUGAUACGCGAGGAACCUUACCCGGGCUUGAACUAAGAGUGACAGAUCUAGAGAUAGAUUUUUCUUCGGACACUCUUGGAGGUGCUGCAUGGUUGUCGUCAGCUCGUGCCGUGAGGUGUCGGCUUAAGUGCCAUAACGAGCGCAACCCUUUUCCUUGGUUGCCAUCAGGUAAUGCUGGGCACUCCAGGGAUACUGCCAUCGUAAGAUGUGAGGAAGGUGGGGAUGACGUCAAAUCAGCACGGCCCUUACGUCCGGGGCUACACACGUGUUACAAUGGGGGGUACAGAAGGUCGCUACCUGGUGACAGGAUGCCAAUCUCCAAAACCUCUCUCAGUUCAGAUUGGAGUCUGCAACCCGACUCCAUGAAGCUGGAUU